GGGAUUACCUCAGUAACGGCGAGUGAAGCGGUAACAGCUCAAAUUUGAAAUCUGGCUCUUUCAGGGUCCGAGUUGUAAUUUGUAGAAGAUGCUUCGGGUGUGGCUCCGGUCUAAGUUCCUUGGAACAGGACGUCAUAGAGGGUGAGAAUCCCGUAUGUGACUGGGUGCCUUCGCUCAUGUGAAGCUCUUUCGACGAGUCGAGUUGUUUGGGAAUGCAGCUCAAAAUGGGUGGUAAAUUUCAUCUAAAGCUAAAUAUUGGCCAGAGACCGAUAGCGCACAAGUAGAGUGAUCGAAAGAUGAAAAGCACUUUGGAAAGAGAGUUAAACAGUACGUGAAAUUGUUGAAAGGGAAGCGCUUGCAACCAGACUUGCCCGCCGUCGAUCAUCCGGGGUUCUCCCCGGUGCACUCGGCGGCGUUCAGGCCAGCAUCGGUUUCGGGGGUGGGAUAAAGGCCUUGGGAAUGUAGCUUCUUUCGGGGAGUGUUAUAGCCCUCGGUGCAAUGCCGCCACCCGGGACCGAGGACCGCGCUUCGGCUAGGAUGCUGGCGUAAUGGUUGUAAGCGACCCGUCUUGAAACACGGACCAAGGAGUCUAACAUCUAUGCGAGUGUUUGGGUGUCAAACCCAUACGCGUAAUGAAAGUGAACGGAGGUGAGAACCCUUAAGGGCGCAUCAUCGACCGAUCCUGAUGUCUUCGGAUGGAUUUGAGUAAGAGCAUAGCUGUUGGGACCCGAAAGAUGGUGAACUAUGCGUGAAUAGGGUGAAGCCAGAGGAAACUCUGGUGGAGGCUCGCAGCGGUUCUGACGUGCAAAUCGAUCGUCAAAUUUGCGUAUAGGGGCGAAGACUAAUCGAACCAUCUA
rnacentral:rRNA from 1 species